UGGGGAAUUUUGGACAAUGGGCGCAAGCCUGAUCCAGCCAUUCCGCGUGCAGGAUGAAGGCCCUCGGGUUGUAAACUGCUUUUUGUACGGAACGAAACGACUCUCUCUAAUACAGGGGGUUAAUACGGUACCGUAAGAAUAAGCACCGGCUAACUACGUGCCAGCAGCCGCGGUAAUACGUAGGGUGCAAGCGUUAAUCGGAAUUACUGGGCGUAAAGCGUGCGCAGGCGGUGAUGUAAGACAGAUGUGAAAUCCCCCAGGCUCAACCUGGGAACUGCAUUUGUGACUGCGUCGCUGGAGUGCGGCAGAGGGGGAUGGAAUUCCGCNUGUAGCAGUGAAAUGCGUAGAUAUGCGGAGGAACACCGAUGGCGAAGGCAAUCCCCUGGGCCUGCACUGACGCUCAUGCACGAAAGCGUGGGGAGCAAACAGGAUUAGAUACCCUGGUAGUCCACGCCCUAAACGAUGUCAACUGGUUGUUGGUCCUUCACCUGGAUCAGUAACGAAGCUAACGCGUGAAGUUGACCGCCUGGGGAGUNCGGCCGCAAGGUUGAAACUCAAAUGAAUUGAC
rnacentral:rRNA from 1 species